UUAACGCUGAGGUGUGAUGACGAGGCACUACGGUGCUGAAGUAACAAAUGCCCUGCUUCCAGGAAAAGCCUCUAAGCAUCAGGUAACAUCAAAUCGUACCCCAAACCGACACAGGUGGUCAGGUAGAGAAUACCAAGGCGCUUGAGAGAACUCGGGUGAAGGAACUAGGCAAAAUGGUGCCGUAACUUCGGGAGAAGGCACGCUGAUGGUAGGUGAAGCGACUUGCUCGUGGAGCUGAAAUCAGUCGAAGAUACCAGCUGGCUGCAACUGUUUAUUAAAAACACAGCACUGUGCAAACACGAAAGUGGACGUAUACGGUGUGACGCCUGCCCGGUGCCGGAAGGUUAAUUGAUGGGGUUAGCGGCAACGCGAAGCUCUUGAUCGAAGCCCCGGUAAACGGCGGCCGUAACUAUAACGGUCCUAAGGUAGCGAAAUUCCUUGUCGGGUAAGUUCCGACCUGCACGAAUGGCGUAAUGAUGGCCAGGCUGUCUCCACCCGAGACUCAGUGAAAUUGAACUCGCUGUGAAGAUGCAGUGUACCCGCGGCAAGACGGAAAGACCCCGUGAACCUUUACUAUAGCUUGACACUGAACACUGGUCCUUGAUGUGUAGGAUAGGUGGGAGGCUUUGAAGCGUGGACGCCAGUCUGCGUGGAGCCAACCUUGAAAUACCACCCUUUAAUGGCUGGUGUUCUAACGUAGACCCGUAAUCCGGGUUGCGGACAGUGUCUGGUGGGUAGUUUGACUGGGGCGGUCUCCUCCUAAAGAGUAACGGAGGAGCACGAAGGUUAGCUAAUCCUGGUCGGACAUCAGGAGGUUAGUGCAAUGGCAUAAGCUAGCUUGACUGCGAGAGUGACGGCUCGAGCAGGUGCGAAAGCAGGUCAUAGUGAUCCGGUGGUUCUGAAUGGAAGGGCCAUCGCUCAACGGAUAAAAGGUACUCCGGGGAUAACAGGCUGAUACCGCCCAAGAGUUCAUAUCGACGGCGGUGUUUGGCACCUCGAUGUCGGCUCAUCACAUCCUGGGGCUGAAGUAGGUCCCAAGGGUACGGCUGUUCGCCGUUUAAAGUGGUACGCGAGCUGGGUUUAGAACGUCGUGAGACAGUUCGGUCCCUAUCUGCCGUGGGCGCUGGAGAAUUGAGGGGGGCUGCUCCUAGUACGAGAGGACCGGAGUGGACGCAUCACUGGUGUUCGGGUUGUCAUGCCAAUGGCAUUGCCCGGUAGCUAAAUGCGGAAAAGAUAAGUGCUGAAAGCAUCUAAGCACGAAACUUGCCCCGAGAUGAGUUCUCCCUGACUCC
rnacentral:rRNA from 1 species